GGAAUCUUCCACAAUGGGCGCAAGCCUGAUGGAGCAACACCGCGUGAGUGAAGAAGGGUUUCGGCUCGUAAAGCUCUGUUGUUAAAGAAGAACACGUAUGAGAGUAACUGUUCAUACGUUGACGGUAUUUAACCAGAAAGUCACGGCUAACUACGUGCG
rnacentral:rRNA from 1 species